CAACCUUCAAGCUCUGCUUGGUAUUGGGCCACACCGGUAACGGUGAGCCUUAAAAUCAGUGGCGGCGCCGCUGGGCCCUGAGCGUAGUAAUACUCCUCGCUACUGGGUCCCGGUGGAUGCUUGCCAUCAACCCCCAAUUUUCUAUGG
rnacentral:misc_RNA from 1 species